GCCGGCGACACUUUCGAAUUGACGGGGACGUCCUAAAGCCCUUUCCACCAAGCCAGUGCGGGAAACCCGCUGGUGGCCCGCCUAAUCCGCGGGGUACGGUAACAGAGAAGGGGAUGACCCGGGGCCUUUCAGGCACCGGCGAAAUGGGCCAUCCGCAGCGAAGCCCCUCCAUCUCGGCGCGAGCCGGGGCGUGGGGAACGUCCACAGACUAAGUGGAAGUGGGUGGAGCCUCCGGGCUCUGCUUAAGAUAUAGUCGGGCCCCUGGGGAAACCCGGGGGAGCGUGUACCGUUCCGUAGGUGAACCUUCGGAAGGAUCAUUA
rnacentral:ncRNA from 1 species